CUGGUUGAUCCUGCCAGACCCGACUGCUAUCAGAGUGGGACUAAGCCAUGCGAGUCAACGCCGCAAGGCGUGGCAUACGGCUCAGUAACACGUAGUCAACAUGCCCAGGGGACGUGGAUAACCUCGGGAAACUGAGGAUAAACCGCGAUAGGCCAAGGUUUCUGGAAUGGACACUGGCUGAAACCUAUACGGCCCCUGGAUUGGACUGCGGCCGAUCAGGCUGUUGGUGAGGUAAUGGCCCACCAAACCUGUAACCGGUACGGGCUUUGAGUGAAGGAGCCCGGAGAUGGGCACUGAGACAAGGGCCCAGGCCCUAUGGGGCGCAGCAGGCGCGAAACCUCUGCAAUAGGCGAAAGCUUGACAGGGUUACUCUGAGUGAUGCCCGCUAAGGGCAUCUUUUGGCACCUCUAAAAAUGGUGCAGAAUAAGGGGUGGGCAAGUCUGGUGUCAGCCGCCGCGGUAAUACCAGCACCCCGAGUGGUCGGGACGAUUAUUGGGCCUAAAGCAUCCGUAGCUUGUUCUGCAAGUCUUCCGUUAAAUCCACCUGCUCAACAGAUGGGCUGCGGGAGAUACUACAGGGCUAGGAGGCGGGAGAGGCAAACGGUACUCAGUGGGUAGGGGUAAAAUCCUCUGAUCCACUGAAGACCACCAGUGGCGAAGGCGGUUUGCCAGAACGCGCUCGACGGUGAGGGAUGAAAGCUGGGGGAGCAAACCGGAUUAGAUACCCGGGUAGUCCCAGCUGUAAACGAUGCAGACUCGGUGAUGGGUUGGCCUUGCGCCAACCCAGUGCCGCAGGGAAGCCGUUAAGCCUGCCGCCUGGGGAGUACGGU
rnacentral:rRNA from 1 species